rnacentral:lncRNA from 1 species
ACGCCAGGCCAGAAGGACCAGGGGCUGGAAACUCGCCUUCAGGGCUCCUAAGCUGCUGCGGAGCUAGACGGCGGGCUGUGGGUGGGGAGGAGACUAGAAUAUUCUGAGACGUGGUAGGGUGGGAGUUAGGAGAGGUAACCUGGAGUUGUUGCCCAAGAUGCAGCUCAGCUCCAGUGGCCACACCAAGAAGGCUUGAGACCGGGGGCAGAACCAGGGGGAUUUUGUGGUGGCUGGGGGCCUGCAUUUGAGUUCCUUGACCAGCAGGAGGGCUUGGAUUUAGGGAGGCUCUAAUCGCCUGCACGAAGAACCCCGCGCUGUCUGGCCCACCCUUCACAGUAUCCGACCGGGGCGUCCUGAACCGCCGCCAGCUCUAUCUGACCACCUCGGCGCGGGACUUUCGGUUCUAUCCCAAGACGGAGCCGUCCGGAUACCCCCGCAAGGACUACCUGACCUACUGGAGCUUAGAAGAGACGCCCCAACUCUGGAGUCACGACCCGCAGCGGCAGCCCUGUCUCUGCUCUUCCAGGCCGCCUCGAGCGCCGCACGGCGGGCCAUGUCUCCGGCUCAGGAAACCUACAGCUCCUCGCCGCACCCGCUCCGCCGGCUCGACCGCUUCCGCCCGCUGGAGGCGACUUGGGGUGGCCCCCACUGGAAGCCCCUGCCGGGCAUACACAGCGUCCCGAAAGCCUACAGCACCGAGAACUCCCGCUCAGGCCGCUGUAAGCCGGGGCUAGUGGGAGCCUGCCGGGCCAGCCCCACCCCAGACACGCCCCCUGGCGUGGGGGCGGAGCAGAGCUCUGGGCAGCCGCUCACUACGCGGUGUCGGACCUAGGUGGGCUCGCACUCAUUAAGUCUAUCCGCAGUGUGGGGACAGGACUAGCCCAGACACGCCCACUCAGCUGCGGCUGGAUCGCGGGGAA